GGGCUGCUCCACAUUGCCCUGUCCCACAUGCACGUCCGCGCCUUUGCAAGCUACUCAAGAAAAGCCAGAAGUGGAGCCCUUUCUCGGAAGCUCGGCGGUCACCGAAACAUAAAGAUCUUACUUUAUGAAGAAGGCCCACUGCUGGAGGAGCCAUAGAGGACAUUCCAUCACCAGAAGGACCAAGCUGUUAUUGCCGACAAAUGAAAAUCCUCCACUAGAGAACCUGCGUGUGUCCACAGUCCUUCGGGCACAUUUAACCAUCUUGGAGCCACCGGUGACCCCUCUUCCUGGAGAAGAAGGUGGCAACAAUUUCCACGGGAAGAUCAUGCCUUGCUCUGCCAACCUUGGUGAACUUAACAAAACCCAAAACCUGGGAACUCAUCUUAAAAACAAGCACAACACAACAAACAUACAAGGUAACCAGAAAGGCCUCCCCUUGCUGAGAGAGACAUCAGCCAGAUUCUCUGGUCAGGAGGAAGAUGCUACAUUGUCUUCCUGGCUGCGGGAAAGUGAAGGCCUGACUACGAGCCGGUGUAAGACGUAGGCUUUUUUGGGUGGUAGCUCAGGUGAAGAGGCUCCCACACAUCUGUCCAAGGCUUUUCCACUGGGGAAACUGUUACUAGAGAACUGGUUCCCAAGUCAGGCUGGCUGCAAGCUGCUGAAAAAUCAGUAGUCAGAGACAAAUGAUGGUGGGAAGGGAAAAGUGGCUUUAGUCAAGAAGCCAGCAACCUGGGAAGAUGGUGGGCUAAUGUCUCAGAGACAGUUGCUCUGUCCAGGUGAAGCAGAGGGCAGUGAAGGGGCAGGCAUGGGGAUAGAGAGGAGACUACACGUAGGAGAAGUGGUUGCCCAGACUGCUACAUAUGUGGACGUGACCCUGCACAGACUUGCUGGACUGGAGGCAGCUGUUCUUGAAGACAGCCAGGCCUUGUCUUCUGGAAAAGCCUGGUCCUUCACUCCUCAAGCCAGUGGUCUGCAGAUCCCAAGGAAAGUACGUGAUUUCUGCUAUAGACUUAGGUCAGCAUAAGCUUGAAUCAGGUUAAUCCUUAAGACUGGUUGGAGUGGUGACAAAAUUACUGGGAAAUUCACUCCUUUUCCCCACAGAGAGAAACUGAAAGAAGCAAAAGAGAAUCAAUAAUACAACAGUAAAAUCAAUUUGCAGCAUUUGUGUUUUUAUGUUAGUGAGAAAGAUCCACUGUAAGAGUUAAUAUAUACAUUUUCUGUUUUUUUUUAAAUCUUUUUUAGAUUUUAUUUAUUCAUGACAGACACACAGAGAGAGGCAGAGACAUCAGCAGAGGGAGAAGCAGGCUCCCUUGGGGGAGCUGGAUGUGGGACUGAUCCCAGGACCCUGGGACCAUGACCUGAGCCAAAGGCAGAUGCUCAACCACUGAGCCACCCGGAUGCCCCUCAUGUUCUGGCUUUACCUUUUGAAUUUAAAAGUUGUAUCAAAAUACCUUAUGUUGCCAUCAUCCAGGUUUGGUACAACCUUUAGUACAUCCAGGUUUAGUAUAUUUGGGGAAGGGGGCAAAUACUAAGAUCAUCGCUUCCACAUUCCCAUUGAGCUCUAUAACAGUUUCCUGGCCAGAGGGAACCUCAGAGGCCCAUGCUCCUUGUAUUAAGCAGGUAUUGGUACUUUACAAAGGGAAGCAAACUGCAAAAGGAUUUUUAUUUUAUUUUACUUUUUACAUUUCUCUGUCUAGGCCAAAAUAUACCUGUGGAUAUUUUGACACAUAGAAAGUAAAACCAGUAACAGAAAAACAAACAGUCCCAACUCAGAACAAUGAUUGAAAAAGAUAAAAAUGGAGAUAUGGAGAAAAAUAAUUUACAAUUUCAUUAUUUCAGAGGAAAGGUAGAGCAAAAGGAGUGGUAGGUGGUUAUAAAUUUGUAGAAGUGAGAAGGAGACUGUAAGAAAUGGAAUGGAAUCAUCUUUGGAAGGGAAAGGGAGGCUUUGAAUUCAAAGAAGUAAAAUUUUUAAAAAGAUUUUAUUUGUUUGAGAGAGAGAGAGAGAUAGUGAGAGCAAGCAUAAGCAGGGGGAGAGGGAGAAGCAGGCUCUCCGUGAGCAGGGAGCCCCACAUGGGCCUCAAUCUGAGGCCUUGGGAUCAUGACCUGAGCCGAAGGCAGAUGCUUAACUGACUGAGCCACCGAGGCGCCCUCAAAGAAAUAAAUUAAUCACACCUGGCUGUCCAUGACUCACUUUGUGAUUAGUCCAUAAAAGAUCACUCUCAGUUCUACUUUGAUAGCAUUGUUUUUCCUUGUCAUGCCUGGUAUCAAACCCUUUCAUCUCCAUCAACAUAUAGAUCCUCUGUAAAGUGUUUAAUAUUAUUCUUUAGAAAAAAAGCUAUUCUCCUUCACAACAAAAGAAACAGUCAACAGAAUAAAAAGACAACCUACAGAAUAGGAGAAAAAUUUUGCAAAUCAAGUAUUGAAUAAGGGGUUAAUAUUAAAAAUUUGUAAAGAAUUCAUACAACUUAAUAACAAAAUAGCAAUCUGAUACUUAAAUGAGCAGAGGAAUUAAAUAGACAUUUUUGCCAAGGAAGACAUUCCAAUGGACAGAAGGUACAUGAAAAGAUGCUCCUUAUCAUUAACUGUCAAGGCAAUGCAAAUCAAACCCACAAUGAGGUAUCACCUCAUACCUGUCUGAAGAGCUAUCAUCAAGAAGACAAGUGAUAACAAGUGUUCAGGAGGAUGUGGAGAAAAGGA